ACGAUCUGAUUUCCUCGUGUCAGCAUUGUUCCCACAUCAUCAUAAUUAAUGUUGUUCCAGGUUCAACAUUGCAAGUGACCAAUCACCUUCUUGUGACGUCAUUCCUUUGCGACUUCGAAAUACCCGCCUUCGAGUAUUUCGAAAUACAAGUGAAGAAGCGAGAAACCGCCGCCUGUCCGCCGAAUUUGAAGUCAAUUUAGGAUACUUUUCUUUAAUAAACGAAACUGUGACUCCUUCACAAUGUCAGAUUACCUUGUGGGAGUAGCUGGACCAAACUCUAUUGGUAUUUCAAGUUUGAAAUCCCUGUUUGACCAGACAAACAUUUCAGAUGAGGUAAUAGAUGGCCUAAUCUAUUUGCAGUGUGAGAAUUUCCCUCACAUUUAUCCAAUACCAAGCCAAAUCACUGGAAAAAUUUUGGAUGGGUCCACAAGAGCACAAAGUGCAUACUUUUUGAAGAAAAACAUCUUUC